GUAUAUUGUGAAAUAAGAUCUCUUAUACCCAGAAUAAGACUGGUUUUGUGUAAUUGUUUUCUUUUCUUGUUCUAGUCUAUUUUGUGUGUGCAUUUUAGAUAUUGUUGACAGUUAAUACUGACGGUGAAGACUGAAAAUACCUAUAGGCUGCAGUGUUUUGUGCUAAACGCGAGGCUGCAGCAACUUUCCUUUGGGUCUGGUAUGCAGUACAAGAAACUGUAAAAUGGAUCCAGACUUGAUAAAACGUGUGCAUUUUUACCAAGGACAAAUCAUGUCUCAUGAACAUACUAACCAGGACAGACGUUCUUGACUGGAAGCAGGACAUCAUUUUAAGUGUUGACCUGCAGCAUGAGGCAAUGAUAAAGGCUGUAGCAGCAAACAAAAGUGUACCAAUUAACAAAAUAGUUGUCAGACACUUGAUGAGAUUGCCGGAUCCAUCUAAGCUUAAAGAGGUUACCCUUUCAAGUGUCUUCAGUUA